UUAAAGAUCAUGGAGGAGAAACUGUCAGUUGGGUUGGAGGGUGACCUUCAAACAGCUCAAGUGACUACAUGUCCAAAUACACGUGCUGAGAGCCCUGUGAUGGAUACAUGUCUGGGACACAAAAGGGAAGUGUGGCACUCUGGCUUCUAGGCAGAGGUGGCAUUUUUCUUUGGCUGUGACAACAGGCAAACCGGCGCUGGCUUCUAUCACUGC
rnacentral:lncRNA from 1 species